CUCCCGCUCCCCUGGCACGCCUUCGGGGUCCUUGCGGGCGGCAAGCACCUCCGUCCCGGAGACAUCUGCCGCUGCAGCAUAGACCACCAUGUCCUCGCUCGGCAGCACCGAUGUUGAUGAUGGCAACGAGGAGGAGGACGGCUCCGCGAGCACCCCCGAGAUCUACCGCUGCCACUCCCACGCAGUUGCGUGUAGCCUCUCCAUGUGAUUUCCCCAAUGUUUCCCUUCCUCUGUAGCCUCUCCGACGGCGCCGCCGCCGUUCUUCCUCGGCCGUCGGCGACAUUUUAAGAACGCCUGAGGCUGUUCAACCACUUCAUCGUCUUUUUGACUGCCUCACAUUGAAGGAACUUUGCAGCGGACUGUUAUAUGAUCUAUGAAAGAAUGCAUGCAACAAGAUCUCCAGUCUGAUACUGAUGAAGAAACUACAAAAGAACACAUAGCCACCAUCAAUCAAGACAAAGGGAAAACUACCAUUACCUCAAUUGGAUUUCUGGUUUUUGGGCUAUCAUUGGAUUUCUGGUUAACUGAAAUAUGUACCUUGCAGUAGCUCUAUGUCUCUAUAUGGCAUUAUGGUGUCUAAAACUGGAUCAUUAUAUUUUCAUUUGAGUGAAAUUCUUAUCAAAUGUUGAACCUUCAGGCUCCAGCUUGAUCUGGUUCAUGUUUUUUCUAGAUUACCCCAGUUGAUGAAGCAAAGAAAUUAUACCUGUUAUUUGGCCUUGGGGCUAAUGUUGCCAUUAUCUUUUCUGGCCGUACAAUGAAGUAUUUCUCAAAUUUGCGCAAGACAUUGGGUCCUGGAAUGAUGAGCAUAGUGGUACUUCUUGAACUUGCAUCUAUUGGGGAGUGAGCAAGUUUGUUUUGAAUGAUCCUUCAUUGCCAAAGUCUUAUCGUAAGAAGAAAAAGGAACUUCAUAAUGAUUUCUGGUUAACUGAAACGCAUGGGCACACAUCCAUGAGUCCCCCACCGCUACAUGCCUCACGCCUCGUCACUGAGUCGUUCUUAGUCACGACAUGCUGAUGUCGAUCCACCCGUCAAGAACAAGGUGCAGCAGAGAUCUUUCUCCUCGUCGCUGCUUCCUCGCCAUCCGGAGAUGGUCGUCGCCGCCUAAUAUCACAGCGGUGGGAAGGCACAACGCUCCCCCAUCUCCUCCGGUUCUGCCUGCUCGCCAGCACGACGCGACGAUGCCCCCCUGACCCCCGCGCGCACAGCCUCCGCUGGAGAAGCGACAACGCUCUCGUCUCCGGUCUCCAUGAGUCAGCCUCCAAUCCAUUUCCAUGCCAGGUAUUUACCUAACGUACAUUGAACCUGCACACAACCCUGUCUGUGAGACCAGAAGGUAGAUUUCUUCAAGGGGAACAAUGUGGUGUAACUUCAUCAGCACAACCACUUUGCUGAAGGUGUCCGGAUCAUGAUGCAGACAACAACUGGUGUACUCAUUCCCACUUUGAUGGUAAUCGAAAUGGAGACAAACACAAUUGGAGGGAAAAUAUCCAAAGACAAAAGGAGUGAGUUUUCACUUCUUCAGAUUCCACCAAUCAGAAUAAGAACUAGACAUCAUAGAGACCAACUUUUGGUAAGAGCAACAAAAAACUGGACUACUAAAAUUUACUAGCGUGAUCUUCAACUGUCCUGUUACCAAUAUUUUUUGGGGUCUAUUAUGGAUAGCAAUAUGCAUUUGUUCUUUGUACAGAGAUUUUUCCUCGCAAUAUUAUGUUCGUUUGGUCA